UGCCUUUAGCAAGGUGAAGAGGUCUGCCC
rnacentral:piRNA from 1 species